GGGCCUAUAGCUCAGCGGUAGAGCCCCCGGCUCAUAACCGGUUGGUCCCUGGUUCAAAUCCAGGUGGGCCCACCA
rnacentral:tRNA from 7 species